GCGGGUAUAGUUUAGUGGUAGAAUGACUGCCUUCCAAGCAGUAUACGGGAGUUCGAUUCCCCCUACCCGCACAA
rnacentral:tRNA from 1 species